rnacentral:rRNA from 1 species
CCUACGGGUGGCAGCAGUGAGGAAUAUUGGUCAAUGGACGAGAGUCUGAACCAGCCAAGUAGCGUGAAGGAUGACUGCCCUAUGGGUUGUAAACUUCUUUUAUAUGGGAAUAAACUGUUCCACGUGUGGGAUUUUGUAUGUACCAUAUGAAUAAGGAUCGGCUAACUCCGUGCCAGCAGCCGCGGUAAUACGGAGGAUCCGAGCGUUAUCCGGAUUUAUUGGGUUUAAAGGGAGCGUAGGUGGAGUGUUAAGUCAGUUGUGAAAGUUUGCGGCUCAACCGUAAAAUUGCAGUUGAAACUGGCAGUCUUGAGUACAGUAGAGGAGGGCGGAAUUCGUGGUGUAGCGGUGAAAUGCUUAGAUAUCACGAAGAACUCCGAUUGCGAAGGCAGUUCACUGGACUGCAACUGACACUGAGGCUCGAAAGUGUGGGUAUCAAACAGGAUUAGAUACCCCUGUAGUC